AUCAAGGUAUGAAAAUAGCAAAUAAUAUAAUAUAUUACUUUUUUGUUAAUUUGAAUAUGUUUAUUUUUUUAGAUUUUUAAAAAACCAAAUUACUAUGCAUUGCCGCAAACUUCUUUUUUACAAUAGUUGUUUGCAGUACACCCACGAUGCUGGUACAAUGGAUACCCAUAAAAUGGAGUGUGGAAAAAUAGUUACACAUAUGCCGACACCUCAAAAUAAUAAUCUGAAAUUUAAGAACUACCAAUGUCAACUGGAUAUACCUUUUGUAGUAUAUGCAGAUUUUGAAUGUAUAUUAGAGAAUAUACAAACUCAUAUGGAGUGAAGUCAAGCUGCGGUAUUGGCAUUGGUGAAGACCUGGAAAUCCAAGGAAUGCUAAUAUAAUCCUAAACAUGAGUUUUAUAAACAUGCACGAGCAGCUGCUUUGGACACAAUUGCCACAAAUUUAAAGCAAAUAGUUCCAAAAAUUUCACCAAAUGAUGUAAAGAUAAAAAAUAUAAAAAAAAAUCUUAUAUUGCAUAAUUUGAAAAGAAGAAAAGUGACCGCGUUGGUAAGAAACUGUUCCUCCUGUUUAAUACUUACUAAGUGUGUCUAUUUCGUUUCAGUUUUAAGUCACUUUUUUAUAGCAUAAAAGUGCGUAAAAUUAGUAAAAUUUCCAGUUUUGCCAUAGCAAUAGGGAAACUGGAAAUUUAUCUAAUUUUACACUAUUUUAUGUAGUAAAAACGACUUUAUAAUACUUUGUCUUUUACUUUAUGAAUAAUUUAAAAUUGCUUAUACUUACUUAUCUCUCACUUAUGUUUAUUAUAUAUUACAUUUAUUUUUUAUAUAUUAAAUUUUAAAUAAAAUCAUUA
rnacentral:misc_RNA from 1 species